rnacentral:rRNA from 1 species
UAACGCGAAGAACCUUACCCACCUUUGACAUGUACGGAAUCCUUUAGAGAUAGAGGAGUGCUCGAAAGAGAGCCGUAACACAGGUGCUCCAUGGCUGUCGUCAGCUCGUGUCGUGAGAUGUUGGGUUAAGUCCCGCAACGAGCGCAACCCUUGCCAUUAGUUGCUACGAAAGGGCACUCUAAUGGGACUGCCGGUGACAAACCGGAGGAAGGUGGGGAUGACGUCAAGUCCUCAUGGCCCUUAUAGGUGGGGCUACACACGUCAUACAAUGGCUGGUACAGAGGGGUGCCAACCCGCGAGGGGGAGCUAAUCCCAUUAAGCCAGUCGUACUCCCGGUUGCCACCUCGGCCUCCCCCUCGCUUGAUCGCCCUCCUCUUUCUAAACGGGUAUCCAAAAUGUCCCGGGGGGGGGGUUGCCCGGUUCUCGUACAUCCAGAGUGGAUCACCGGUCGCGCGAGUGAGAAUUGGGAAUGGCGGCAAUUAUACAGCGCCGGGACGGAAAAACCCUCGCGCGAACUUA